GUUGAAGCUGAGACCACGGCAAGUUGAGGUGUGGUCUAGAACCAGUUACUUUUCAGAUAUCAAAACAACACUCAUUCUCUACAGUUUCUGCUUUUACUUUCAUUGUGUUAUUCUCUUUGAUGACAAAUUGGAUUCUGUGAAAAAUUCCAGUUGACCUAACUACAUGACAUUCAAAAUGUAGCCUCUUUACAGUUUGUGUCUUUGUUAAUGCUCUUACUUAGGUAUUGGGUUUUUAUGGUGGUCUUAUGAAGUUUCAACUCAAACAUCUAGUUUAGGAAAUGUGGUCCAAUUGAAAGAACGUGCUUAAUUGUAGUACUGUUGUAAUUGUUCUGGGUUCUGAACAUGCUGAUAACUUCAUAUGCUUACUGAAAGCUCAAUUUUUUUUUUUUUUUUGUGAUCUCGUCAAGUUUGAGCUCACCAUUAAACAAAUUUACUUCACUUUUGGAAGAAAUCUACUUGAUUCAAGUAUUCAUAAGCGAAUUGAAGUACUUGUGUUGUAAUUAUUUUGUCUUGCAAGAAAGUUUAUAACUUUACUAAUAUUCUUACUGGAAGCUUAGUUUUUGAUAUAUCAAGCCAUUGGUUUGCCUUUUGAUAUCUAAACUCAGCAUUUAGUUGAGCAAAUGUACUUCACUUUAACGAGUCUAUUUAAUUGAAGAACUCAUAAGCUAGUGUUAAUUUGCUUUGUGCAGAUUGGUUUUACUUUAUUUUUCAGUGCUAAGAUCGUUAAUGUCAUAUAUUUUCAGUUUCUAAGUAUCAAUAGACUGUAUGCAGUAGUUGUCUAUCAUGUGUUUAACAGUUAAUGGUUUAUCUUUGAAGAGUUUGUGCAGAGUUUCCAAUUGUAGAGGUGAGAUAUUAGAAUUUGAGUGUGGAAGCUGAUUGGCAGAUUGUUCACAGAAAGCCCCUCACAACUCUAUGGAAUUCUCUUAUACAUUCGCUUCUGUUCAUUUUUUGUUGAGCCGUAAAUUGAAUCCAUAUGGGUGCUUAUCUGGCUGUGAAUGAUGUUUAAAAUUUUAUUACAGAGAGUUUUAAUUAGUCCUUACCUUACAUUUUUCAUUGUUGAAAGUUCUUUAAGAUGCAGCUUACUUGCAGUUUUGAAUGAUUUUAUUAGUUAGUUGAAAUUGAAACCUUGCUUCAUAACUCCUCCUGGAGCUUAUAGGUUCACAGUCAAAUCAGGUUCAGAUAACCAUCAUUGAAGAUAUUAGUGACAUCAUUAAGCCUGGAAUGUAAUAUGAAAGAUUUAAUGUUAGUAAAAUUAACUCCAUUUGUGAAUUGACAUAAACCGUUCUCGGUCAAUUGUGCUGAUCUUCCAUUAUAUAUGUAGCUGAAUUGCCAUUGUGGAAUUCCAAUGGUUUGUUAUAAAUUGAUGUUACCUUUAACUUAUAAAGGAUACAUUCACCCUUCUAAUUCUAUCUUGUGUUUCUUGACUUCCAAGAAGGUAGUGAACUUUUCUGUAGGAAUCCACUGAAUAAUUCAUAAAUUUAAGCUUAGGUAGCUUUCAAAUUAUUCCUUGUGAGAACCAAUAUGUUUGGAUCACACUGCCAUGUGUUUUAUAUCCUCUUGGUGGAAUUUGUACAUUAUUUAACAGAAAUGCCUUACACUUAAGGUUCUUAGCAAAAGUUUUACUGGUGAAACCAUGUAUGUGGAGGAUUUUUGUCACCCAAUUGGUAUGUGAUAAUUUAACAAUUUGUUGUUUCACUUUGAUAUGCUCUAUUAGAGCUGACUUAAUUCCAUUUGGCUUCAGAAUAUGAUGUGGAAAGCCUCUUUUCUGCUAGAAUUUUUGUGAAGGAAAGUUUAAAAGGCUCCUGAGGAAUGUACACUUAAGUGUGCUUGAAUUAUUGCAGGAUGAUUCAUUUGCUUGGCCCCCAAGUUGCAGGAAGACCAUACUUUUAAAGGCUCUCAGUUAGGAACCUGGUUAUUUUCCAAUGAUUCUGAGAUGAUUACAUCCCAAUCUGCAAGUCCAGUGAUUUUCCAACCUCCCUCUCAACUCUGCUUCUCAUGAACACCAGGUAACAGGGAAAAGGUUUCCUACAAUGGUUACCAGUUGGAUGAAUUUGUUCCCCAGAAAACACCAGCUUAUAUAAGCUAAGAGGAUCUGCAUAUUGCUGAAAUGACUGAGGGAAACACUUGAAUUUGCUGCCCAAUUGGUUUUGGAAACUAAGGAAGUAGGCUUCCUUAGAUUUAAUUCAAUGAAGUUUUAAUCAUAGCCACCUUAUCAAUUCCCACAAGUUGUUGGUAUGUACAGAGCAAUUAUUUUUUUUCUGCCUGUACAGAUAUGAUGAUGGAAGUCCAUAAAAGAGAGGAGUCAGGAAUUGUUCCGGAUGUAGAUGUAGAUACUUUCAUGAAGGUUUCUUCUUUAUAAUUGAUGUCUUGUUUAUAUCUGAUUUUUUGUUCUAUAUGUUGUUGCUACAUGUGUGAAAUAUUCAUGGCAAUGGUAGUUAUUACAGCCAAUUUCUAGCAAAGGACCAAAAGCAACCCUUCAAACAGAUCAUGUUUUUACUGUCUUCGGACGUCCCAGGUCCUUGAACUUGAUAUUUUUGGUGACACAACGGUGGCAGAUGAGAUGAGAAGAGGCAUCUCUGGAGGUCAAAAGAGGAGACUGAGUACUGGUAAUUUUCUAUAAAUGCAUUUGCUCCACUUGGUAGUAAUGUUUAUAGUGUAGAUGAUUGAAAGGAAUAGAUGCCUGCAGCAGAUUGUUGUGUCCACAAAAACUUUAUUUAUGGAUGAAAUAUGAAAUGGUUUAGACGGUUCAACUGGAUAUCAGAUUAUUGCUUAUCUGCAGCAGCUGAUGCAUAUCUGUUGGGUGUCUCUUUCCUUGGUGGCUAUCGGCGAUAUGACUCCAGUGAAGUCUGCUCUGGUAACUGGCUGCACGGCUUCAGUUAACAAUCAAUUUGAAAUGAGCCAUAACAAUCAUAUGCGCCCUCUCCCUUCUGUAACCCUUUCAAAAUUGUUGAGAUACUUCUAGUUCUACUGCUGGCAUUUUAGUCAUUUUCAUCGUUUUAAAUACUUAUCGACAAAACUAAUAAAACAUAAGUAUGAAUUUUUUUUUUUAAUUUUUUAAUUUCACAGAUGAGAUUGGCAACUUGUUGCUGAAUUUGUUACCGACAAUCUGAAAAAUUAGUGUCAAAUGAGUAGAUUACAAGUUGAAAAUUGGUGUCA